rnacentral:tRNA from 1 species
UGCGGGGUGGAGCAGUCUGGUAGCUCGCCGGGCUCAUAACCCGGAGGUCGGUGGUUCAAAUCCGCCCCCCGCGACCA